GGAAAAUUUGUGCUUAGUCAAACUUACUACAAUUUCAACUAGGAGUUUCCGUCACCCUGUGGCCCCUCCUGCCUUCCACUCCCAAGGACCCCUGUGAGAAAAGGCCAGGAAUGGCUUCCUUGAGUUUGAGCUUGGAUCAGGAGUUCCUACAGGUUCCCACUGCUUUUUCUACUUUUUCGCUCAGCUCCCAAAAUCCAUUUCAGCUCUAGAGUUUUGUGCUAUCAUCACCAGAGCCAGCAAUUCAACCUAAAUUCUGAGUGUAAUGGAAGCCGUUAAUCACUAUCAAGUUCAUCAUUUUUUUUUCAUGCAAUCAACAGAGAAAACUUCUGUGACCAUAUAUAUGAGGCUUUUUCUGACCAACAAGAAAGAAAUCAAUUCUGUAGCAGAUACUAG
rnacentral:lncRNA from 10 species